AACGAACGCUGGCGGCAGGCUUAACACAUGCAAGUCGAACGAGAUCUUCGGAUCUAGUGGCAGACGGGUGAGGAACACGUGGGAACAUCCCUUUCAGUUCGGGAUAACGUUGGGAAACUAACGCUAAUACCGGAUACGUCCUUCGGGAGAAAGAUUUAUCGCUGAAAGAUUGGCCCGCGUCCGAUUAGCUAGUUGGUGAGGUAAUGGCUCACCAAGGCUACGAGCAGUAGCUGAUCUGAGAGGAUGAUCAGCGACAUUGGGACUGAGACACGGCCCAAACUCCUACGGGAGGCAGCAGUGGGGAAUAUUGGACAAUGGGCGCAAGCCUGAUCCAGCCAUGCCGCGUGAGUGAUGACGGCCUUCGGGUUGUAAAGCUCUUUUGUCCGGGAAGAUAAUGACUGUACCGGAAGAAUAAGCCCCGGCAAACUUCGUGCCAGCAGCCGCAGUAA
rnacentral:rRNA from 1 species